UACGGAGGGAGCGAGCGUUGUCCGAAGUUACUGGGCGUAAAGCGCGCGUAGGCGGGAAAUUAAGUGAGAAGUGAAAGGCUGGGGGCUCAACCCCCAUGCAGUGCUCCUCAUACUGGUUUUUCUUGAGGGUGGUAGAGAGAAGUGGAAUGGCUGGUGUAGCGGUGAAAUGCGUAGAUAUCAGUCGGAACACCAGUGGCGAAGGCGGCUUCUUGGGCCAUUACUGACGCUGAGGCGCGAAAGCCAGGGGGAGCGAACGGGG
rnacentral:rRNA from 1 species